rnacentral:rRNA from 1 species
UACGGGGGGAGCAAGGGUUGUUCGGAAUUACUGGGCGUAAAGGGCGAGUAGGUGGCCAUCUAAGUCAGACGUGAAAUCCCCCGGCUUAACCUGGGAACUGCGUCUGAUACUGGACGGCUUGAGUAUGGGAGAGGAAUGUAGAAUUCCAGGUGUAGCGGUGAAAUGCGUAGAUAUCUGGAGGAAUACCGGUGGCGAAGGCGGCAUUCUGGACCAUUACUGACACUGAAUCGCGAAAGCUAGGGGAGCAAACGGG